ACCUGCAUUUGGAGGUGAUCACGGGCUGCCCGUGCCCUGGUCAUUGAUAGUGCAGGGAGAGGAAUCGCUGAAAGACGUUGCCCCGUGUUUGGAGGGUCCACCCCGUUCCUUCCAAACCCUGGAGCUUUCACACA
ensembl:snoRNA SNORA71 Small nucleolar RNA SNORA71